GGAAUAGGUUGGAACAUAAGAAAAACCCACAUUAACUAUGUUGAGGUUGAUUUGCGGAUAUAUUCUGAAGCCGGAAAUGGAGAUUGCAGUUUGAUGAAAGUUAUCAAUGAUGUAGCACAACCAGCAUCAUUAUUCAAACGACCUGACCCACAGUCGGGUCGUUAUAGAGAUAGAUAUUUGUGUGAGAAUGUUUUUAUAAACAUCGGGAUCUUCACAUCCCUCCAGGUGAUCCCUGAAUAAAGACAUUAAACCCCA